AGAGUUUGAUCAUGGCUCAGGACGAACGCUGGCGGCGUGCUUAACACAUGCAAGUCGAGCGGAAAGGCCCUUCGGGGUACUCGAGCGGCGAACGGGUGAGUAACACGUGAGUAACCUGCCCUCAGCUUUGGGAUAACCCUCGGAAACGGGGGCUAAUACCGGAUAUGACACACCGGCGCAUGUUGUGUGUGUGGAAAGUUUUUCGGCUAGGGGUGGGCUCGCGGCCUAUCAGCUUGUUGGUGGGGUGAUGGCCUACCAAGGCGACGACGGGUAGCCGGCCUGAGAGGGCGACCGGCCACACUGGGACUGAGACACGGCCCAGACUCCUACGGGAGGCAGCAGUGGGGAAUAUUGCACAAUGGGCGGAAGCCUGAUGCAGCGACGCCGCGUGAGGGAUGACGGCCUUCGGGUUGUAAACCUCUUUCAGUAGGGACGAAGCGCAAGUGACGGUACCUACAGAAGAAGCGCCGGCCAACUACGUGCCAGCAGCCGCGGUAAGACGUAGGGCGCGAGCGUUGUCCGGAUUUAUUGGGCGUAAAGAGCUCGUAGGCGGCUUGUUGCGUCGUCCGUGAAAACCCGUGGCUCAACUGCGGGCUUGCGGUCGAUACGGGCAGGCUGGAGUUCGGUAGGGGAGACUGGAAUUCCUGGUGUAGCGGUGAAAUGCGCAGAUAUCAGGAGGAACACCGGUGGCGAAGGCGGGUCUCUGGGCCGAUACUGACGCUGAGGAGCGAAAGCGUGGGGAGCGAACAGGAUUAGAUACCCUAGUAGUCC
rnacentral:rRNA from 1 species